UUGGAGGGCAAGUCUGGUGCCAGCAGCCGCGGUAAUUCCAGCUCCAAUAGCGUAUAUUAAAGUUGUUGCAGUUAAAAAGCUCGUAGUUGAAUUUCGGGAUCAGAUUGUCGGUCGUGCCUCGGUACGCACUGGUAUUAUUGGUUCCUACCUUCUGAAGAACCGCGAUGUCAUUAAUUUGGUGUCGUGGGGAAUCAGGACUGUUACUUUGAAAAAAUUAGAGUGUUUAAAGCAGGCUUACGCUUGAAUACAUUAGCAUGGAAUAAUGAAAUAGGACGUUUGAUCCUAUUUUGUUGGUUUCUAGGAUUGACGUAAUGAUUAAUAGGGAUAGUUGGGGGCAUUAGUAUUCAAUUGUCAGAGGUGAAAUUCUUGGAUUUAUUGAAGACUAACUACUGCGAAAGCAUUUGCCAAGGAUGUUUUCAUUAAUCAAGAACGAAAGUUAGGGGAUCGAAGACGAUCAGAUACCGUCGUAGUCUUAACCAUAAACUAUGCCGACUAGGGAUCGGAUGAUGUUAAUUUUUUAAUGACUCAUUCGGCGCCUUACGGGAAACCAAAGUGUUUGGGUUC
rnacentral:rRNA from 1 species